rnacentral:rRNA from 1 species
UACGUAGGGCGCGAGCGUUGUCCGGAAUUAUUGGGCGUAAAGAGCUCGUAGGCGGCCUGUUGCGUCCGCUGUGAAAUCCCAGGGCUCAACCCUGGGCGUGCAGUGGAUACGGGCAGGCUGGAGGCAGGCAGGGGAGAACGGAAUUCCCGGUGUAGCGGUGAAAUGCGCAGAUAUCAGGAGGAACACCAAUGGCGAAGGCAGCUCGCUGGGACGGUACUGACGCUGGAGACGCGAAAGCGUGGGGAGCAAACAGG